rnacentral:misc_RNA from 1 species
GCCUUUAUCGGCCUUCAACAAUUAGCACGGAGUAUAGGGAGCAUGUGAAGGAUCUGUCUUGCCUAUCAAAGGAUCCUUGCCGGACUGUUAUAGUUGACAACAAUCCAUUUAGUUUCUUGUUGCAACCAUUGAAUGGAAUUCCAUGUGUUCCUUUUACUGCGGGUCAACCAUAUGAUACACAGCUUCUGGAUGUACUCCUUCCGCUCCUUAAGCACCUCUCUAAUCAGAAAGACGUGAGACCUGUGCUAUAUGAAAGAUUCCACAUGCCUGAAUGGUUUCAAAAGCAGGGGAUCCCUGCUUCUGGCCGGACAUAGUAGGAUAAAGAUAGAAUGCAAAUGAAAGCCACCAUCCUUUUACUAUCCACAGGCAGCAUUUUGUGUGUAACACAACUUUUUGUAUAUAGGUUUAAUUUGUAUGCCAG